UUGAAGACUGCUGGAGAGAGAUAGCAUCGCUAUCCGCCGAAGAAGUAAAUCUUUCAGGUGCCUAUUUAGGCGAGGACUGUAGUUGGAGG
rnacentral:ncRNA from 1 species